UACGUAGGGGGCAAGCGUUGUCCGGAAUCAUUGGGCGUAAAGCGCGUGUAGGCGGCUCGGUAAGUCCGCUCUGAAAGUCCAGGGCUCAACCCUGGGAUGCGGGUGGAUACUGCCGAGCUCGAGUCCGGAAGAGGCGAGUGGAAUUCCUGGUGUAGCGGCGAAAUGCGCAGAUAUCAGGAGGAACACCAAUGGCGAAGGCAGCUCGCUGGGACGUGACUGACGCUGAGACGCGAAAGCGUGGGGAGCAAACAGG
rnacentral:rRNA from 1 species